rnacentral:rRNA from 1 species
GACGAACGCUGGCGGCGUGCUUAACACAUGCAAGUCGAACGGGAGUAUCGAAGAAGCUUGCUUUAGAGAUACUUUAGUGGCGGACGGGUGAGUAACGCGUGAGGAGCUGUCCUAUGCAGGGGGACAACAGUUGGAAACGACUGCUAAUACCCCAUAAGCCGAGAGGUAAAAGGAUUUAUCCGGCAGAGGAGGUACUCGCGUCCUAUCAGCUAGUAGGUGAGGUAACGGCUCACCUAGGCGAAGACGGGUAGCCGGCCUGAGAGGGCGAACGGCCACACUGGAACUGAGAUACGGUCCAGACUCCUACGGGAGGCAGCAGUGGGGAAUAUUGGGCAAUGGGGGGAACCCUGACCCAGCGACGCCGCGUGGGUGAAGAAAUCCUUCGGGAUGUAAAGCCCUGUUGUAUGGGAAGAGCGGAAGACGGUACCAUACGAGGAAGCCCCGGCAAACUACGUGCCAGCCGCCGCAGUAAUAC